rnacentral:rRNA from 1 species
GGGGAAUCUUGCGCAAUGGGCGAAAGCCUGACGCAGCGACGCCGCGUGGGCGAAGAAGGCCUUCGGGUUGUAAAGCCCUGUGGGGGAGAACGAACCGUACGGGGGCGAACACCCUCCGUGCCUGACGGUACUCCUUUAGCAAGCAUCGGCUAACUCUGUGCCAGCAGCCGCGGUAAGACAGAGGAUGCAAACGUUGCUCGGAAUUACUGGGCGUAAAGCGCGUGUAGGCGGUCUGAUAAGUCGGACGUGAAAUCCCGGGGCUCAACCCCGGAAGAGCGCUCGAUACUGCCAGACUUGGGUUCUGAAGAGGAGAGCGGAAUUCCCGGUGUAGAGGUGAAAUUCGUAGAUAUCGGGAGGAACACCAGUGGCGAAGGCGGCUCUCUGGGCAGAUACCGACGCUGAGACGCGAAAGCGUGGGAAGCAAAC